AACGAACGCUGGCGGCGUGCCUAACACAUGCAAGUCGAACGGAUUUGAGGGGCUUGCUUCUCAAGUUAGUGGCGCACGGGUGAGUAACGCGUAGAUAAUCUGCCCGACGAUCCGGGAUAACAGUUAGAAAGGACUGCUAAUACCGGACAAGCCCACGUGGUCUUUGGACCGUGCGGGAAAAGGGGGGGACCUUCGGGCCAUCUCUCGUGGGAUGAGUCUGCGUACCCUUAGCUAGUUGGUAGGGUAAAGGCCUAGCGAGGCUACGAAGGUUAGCUGGUCUGAGAGGAUGAUCAGCCACGCUGGAACUGAGACACGGUCCAGACUCCUACGGGAGGCAGCAGUGGGGAAUUUUGAGCAAUGGGCGAAAGCCUGACGCAGCAACGACGCGUGAGUGAUGAAGGCUUUCGGGUCGUAAAGCUCUGUCAGGGGGAAAGAAGUGUAUUGUGGCUAAUCUCCACAAUACUUGACGGUACCCCCAAAGGAAGCACCGGCUAACUCCGUGCUAGCAGCCGCAGUAAGAC
rnacentral:rRNA from 1 species